rnacentral:misc_RNA from 1 species
ACGUUUGAUUAUUGGAUACAGGAAGGACGUGAAAAAUUCUGUCUAACAUUAAGUUCGAUUUUGGCUGAACAAUGAAUUAGUGUUACAGUAACUUUGUCACAUAUUACAAAAUCAUGUGUCGGAGAGGAUUUUAGAGUUAUCUUCCUUUGAAUUGCCGAUGGAGAAUGACUGGGAAAAUCUUACGGACCCUAUUCUUUUAUCAGUGUUUUCGUACCUGAAUUUUCACGAGUUGAACUACGCCAGCAAAUCAUGCAAGAAUUGGUAUCGAGUUGCACAAGAUGAGAGUUUAUGGAGAGAAUUAUCUUUUCGGUAUUUGGGGUCUCGCUUUUCUCGACACGACGAUAGUUGGAAGUCAGAGUUGAAGAGAUUGACAUACCAUGCCCCGGUACAUCUGCACCAAACUUGCGAAAGUCACGUGGACGAAGUCUAUAACGUCUGCUUCUCCAAGAGCGGGAAAUAUAUCGCAACUUGCGGUUUAGACGGCAAUGUAAAAGUAUGGCUGUUCGGACCCAACACGGAACUCCUCCACUCCCGACAAGUGGUGGAUCCGCCCUCUUACGUCAACUACGUGGAAUUUAACGAAGCGGAAACUCAUCUGCUGCUGAACUGCAUGAUAAAGGGGGAUACAGGGGACCAGUGCCUUUUGGCAGUGAUGUCCAUCGAAAAGAGUAAACUAAUAUGGUUUAAUGAUUCUUUGAAAUGAUCUUUUUUUUUCUAAAUAAAAAGCUGUUUCUUUAGAUUAUUUACUGACGGGUACUUUAAAACUUUUACAUAACUCUUAUUAUAAGACAUAUAUAUUAUUAGAGUUUGCGGUGAUAGCAGCAAGACAGUCCUGGUUCCCGAACUUCAGGGGCACCUGGCUCAACAACGACACGUUCCUGAAUGCAGACGUUCUGGCCUAUUUCUUCUCCAACGACAACAUCAAACUUGUUGCCUGCACGUUUUAUGAGGAGGAUCUGGAUGACCCGUUCCUAUUGGAGCGCCCUCUGCUGGACCGUCUAUCCGACAACAACGUGGAUCUAAGAUCUUUCCUGGAAAUGGAGCGGGACGAGUUUCGACCUCAUUUCGUCAAAGUCAUUGAUUGGUCGGAAUGGAAUCGGGAUUCCCCAACAAAACGUACCGAAGAUUCCAAUGACAAUGAAAAAGUGGUUAUCUUGUUCCAGCGAAGUUUGGAGUGGGACGGUGUUCAAAGAAUAGUCUUUUACAAAGCUGAUAUAGACAGUGAAACUCCUAGUGUUACUGAUCCAAUUAAAACGAUUUUUAUCAAUUAUGGAUGCACUGGAGUUCAACUUUCUGCAGACCACAGAUACAUCGUGUACAACUUCAGAGGCGUGUGUGAAGACGGAGACAAAAGUUGGUAUGAUAAAGAAGUUGACAUGAUGGUUAUAAAUCUGGCUAAAUCUGAUGAUAAACCCAAAAUAUUCAGCGGUAACAUGUCUUUGGAGUAUUCCACUUUCAUAUCGUACUUUUUCCCGGAUGCAUCUUCAGAUUUUAUAGCAAGCGGAUCAGAACAAGAUGCUGCAGUUAUCUGGGAUCGUCACUCAAAGUGCGUCAUCUCUAAAUUACCUCAUCAUCUCCAAGAUCCAGCGACACAGAAUGGAGUUAGCGCUGUAGCAUUUCAUCCACGUGAUCAAGAAAUUAUCGUUAGUGUAGCAGACGACUGCAAACUUAGAAUUUGGAUGUCUGCCAACAGAACACGUCACUUGUGAUCAGAUAGAUGAUUGGAAAUAGAUACCUGCAUUCUUAAUCUUUCUGUUUAUUUAUACAUGCAUAUGCUACUCAUUUAAAUAAAUGAAUUUUUUUUUGGGUAAGUUCUGAUAUU